rnacentral:lncRNA from 1 species
UGUCCUCAGAAAAAUCAUGUGGAAGGGAUGACCCAAAUUAUCAAGAUAUCAACCAAGAUAAAUAAAAGAUAUUCCUCAAGUGUCUUAGAAACUGUACAUGUAAUUCAUGAUUGGAUAGACAGGAAUUGUCCAAGGGCCAACACCAGUGGCACAGGUGGUGUUGCAAAUCCACAGGGAAAGACCUGUAUCCUCUCCUCAUUACUUGCAGUCUCUAGUUUAAAUUAGUGAUUACUAGCUCCUGUGGAAUAUUUUUCCAUUGAAAAGGACUUUUGUUCAAAAAAAAAAAAAAAAAAAGUGUGUACUGUGACUAAUAAGAGAUGUCAGGACAACUUUUGUUUUCUAUUAUUUGUGUGAUACAACUGCAGCACUGCCAAAUACCAUAACUUAGCUGUAGAUAUCAGUCACCAACUACAGUUAAUGUGACAUUUCUCUCAGUACUAUUUUGGCAGUAUAUUUGUCACUUAUUUUAUACAUCUGUAACACUGACCACUACUUCUCACCUCACUUCACUGCUUUCUUUCAGAUAUUCUCCUAACUGAGAAGUGCUAUACAGUCUCCUCUAGACGAGAUGUCAGACUAGAAUGGACAGGUGCCAAACCAGAGCAGCAGAAGCAGACUGUGAAACUCAGUGAUGCUACUGCCAUCUCCAGCUGUCCUCCUCUCAUGCUCCCCCACAGGCAGCUAGCUUGGAUAGUGCAUCUCUGGCAGUUAAAAGAACAUAUGUACAUGUAUAUCCCCAGAGCAGACUGCAAACAUGUUUUUAGAAGUACACAAGAAGACAUCUAUUUCAUAGGUCAAACCAAAGGAAUCUGGCUUUUAUUGUUAAAGGACUCGAGGGAACACAUGUACUGCUGCCGGCUUCUCUCCACACCCACUCUGUGUGAUGACUACAGAAUCAUUUUAAUCAAGAAUGAAGACUACAUAAUUCAAGCAACAGGGUCAAAAGUCUGA